ensembl:lncRNA
UUUUUUUUUUUUUUUUUUUAGAUGGAGUUUCCCACUGUCACCUGGGCUGGAGUACAGUGGCACAAUCUUGGCUCACUGCAACCUCUGCCUCCCAGAUUCAAGCGAUUCUCCUGCCUCAGCCUCCCAAGUAGCUCGCCAUCACGCCCGGCUAAUUUGUUUUAUUUUUAGUAGAGAUGGGGUUUCACUGUGUUGGCCAGGAUGGUCUCCUGACCUCGAGAUCCACCCCACCCCCCGCCCCUCGCCUUGGCCUCCAAAGUGCUGAGAUUACAGGCAUGAGCCACCACAGCCUGGCACUGAUUCUUAUCUAACGUGGCUUGGCUUAAAGCCAUAUGCUAAUGAAUUUCUGCUCUUCUUUCUAUGUCCUGCUGCCUAAAUCAACUGAAGACUUUUAACUUCACCCCACAGAAGUAGUCUGUUUUGAUUUACUCAUGAGCACUAGAAGUAGGUUAUAAGCGGCCAGGUGCAGUGGCUUACGCCUGUAAUCUCAGCACUUUGGGAGGCCGAGGCAGGUGAAUCAUGAGGUCAGGAGUUCAAGACUAGCCUGGCCAAUGUGGUGAAACCCUGUCUCUACUGAAAAUACAAAAAUUAGCUGGGCGUGGUGGUGGCGUGUGCCUGUAAUUCCAGCUACAUAGGAGGCUGAGGCAGGAGAAUUGCUUGAAACCAAGAGGUGCAGAUUGCAGUGAGCCAAGGUUAUGCCACUGGACUCCAGCCAGGGUGACAGAGGGAGACUGUCUCAAAAAAAAAAAAAGAAGUAGGUCAUAAGCAUAGAAGCAUAAAAUACACACUUUAAGAGGCUGAGGCAGGAAGAUUACGUGAGGCCUGGAGUUUGAGACCAGCCUGGGCAACAUAGCAAGGCCGCAUGUCUACAAAAUAUUAAGAAAACAAACUUAAGUAUGGUGGCACACAUUUGUAGUUUCAGCUACUUAGGAGGCUGAGGCAGGAGGAUUGGUUGAGCCCAGAAGUUCAAGGCUACAGUGAGCUGUGGUUGGGCCACUGCACUCCAGCCUGGAUGACAGAACAAGAUCCUGUAUCUUAAAGAAAAGAAAAGGGGGCAUAAAAUACAAAGCAACUCACUCUCACACAUUUCUGUCAUGUAUCCACCACCAAGUCUAUAUAUGCUCCAGCUAAGCCUGAUGGCCCAGCCAUGCUGAGCCCUGUGAUAGCCCACCUCACUCAUGAUCUUACCCACUGACCCGCACAUAACAGCAGCCCUUUCUCUACAGAACUGGGUUUUUAUUUGUUAUGCACUUUAAAAAAAUAAACAACCUAUUAUUUAGGAAUACAAAUUAAGAUGGAAAACUAAAGAAAAGCAAGAAAUUAUCAACACAGGAUAGUGAUUACCUGAAAGUUGGGAGGGGAAAUGGAGGGAAAUGCAGCUGGAGGGAGAACAUUAAAGGUACUAGUAAUGUUUUAUUUAUCAACAUGAGUGUGUACAGGGGUGUGUGUAUGUGUGUGUGGGUUUUUUGUUUUUCGUUUUUGUUUUUGUUUUUGUUUUUGAGACAGGGUCUUCCUCUGUUGUCCAGGCUAGAGUGCAGUGGUGUGAUCUCGGCUCACUGAAACCUCCACCUCCUGGGUUCAAGUGAUUCUCAUGCCUCAGUCUCCCGAGCACCUGGGAUUAUAGGU